CAGUAGCCGCGGUAAUACGGAGGGGGCUAGCGUUGUUCGGAAUUACUGGGCGUAAAGCGCACGUAGGCGGCUUGGUAAGUUAGAGGUGAAAGCCCGGAGCUCAACUCCGGAAUUGCCUUUAAGACUGCCGAGCUAGCAGGUGAGAGAGGUAAGUGGAAUUCCGAGUGUAGAGGUGAAAUUCGUAGAUAUUCGGAAGAACACCAGUGGCGAAGGCGGCUUACUGGCUCAUACUGGACGCUGAGGUGCGAAAGCGUGGGAGCAAACAGGAUUAGAUACCCGCGUAGUCCCUGUCUCUUAUACA
rnacentral:rRNA from 1 species